rnacentral:rRNA from 1 species
UACAGAGGUCUCAAGCGUUGUUCGGAUUCAUUGGGCGUAAAGGGUGUGUAGGUGGCGCCGUAAGUCGGGUGUGAAAUUUCGGAGCUUAACUCCGAAACUGCAUUCGAUACUGCGGUGCUUGAGGGACUGGGAGAGGAGACUGGAAUUCAUGGUGUAGCAGUGAAAAUGCGUAGAGAUCAUGAGGAAGACCAGUGGCGAAGGCGGGGUCUCUGGACAGUUCCUGACGCUGAGGCACGAAGGCCAGGGAGCAAACGGG